GAUGAACGCUGGCGGCGUGCCUAAUACAUGCAAGUCGAGCGAAUGGAUUAAGAGCUUGCUCUUAUGAAGUUAGCGGCGGACGGGUGAGUAACACGUGGGUAACCUGCCCAUAAGACUGGGAUAACUCCGGGAAACCGGGGCUAAUACCGGAUAACAUUUUGAACCGCAUGGUUCGAAAUUGAAAGGCGGCUUCGGCUGGCACGUAUGGAUGGACCCGCGUCGCAUUAGCUAGUUGGUGAGGUAACGGCUCACCAAGGCAACGAUGCGUAGCCGACCUGAGAGGGUGAUCGGCCACACUGGGACUGAGACACGGCCCAGACUCCCACGGGAGGCAGCAGUAGGGAAUCUUCCGAAAUGGACGAAAGUCUGACGGAGCAACGCCGCGUGAGUGAUGAAGGCUUUCGGGUCGUAAAACUCUGUUGUUAGGGAAGAACAAGUGCUAGUUGAAUAAGCUGGCACCUUGACGGUACCUAACCAGAAAGCCACGGCUAACUACGUGCCAGCAGCCGCCGUAA
rnacentral:rRNA from 1 species